rnacentral:rRNA from 1 species
AGAGUUUGAUCAUGGCUCAGAGCGAACGCUGGCGGCAGGCUUAACACAUGCAAGUCGAGCGCGUGUAGCAAUACACGAGCGGCAGACGGGUGAGUAACACGUGGGAACGUGCCUUUUGGUUCGGAAUAACUCAGGGAAACUUGAGCUAAUACCGAAUAAGCCCUUCGGGGGAAAGAUUUAUCGCCAAAAGAUCGGCCCGCGUAAGAUUAGCUUGUUGGUGAGGUAACGGCUCACCAAGGCUACGAUCUUUAGCUGGUCUGAGAGGAUGAUCAGCCACAUUGGGACUGAGACACGGCCCAAACUCCUACGGGAGGCAGCAGUGGGGAAUAUUGGACAAUGGGCGCAAGCCUGAUCCAGCCAUGCCGCGUGAGUGAUGAAGGCCCUAGGGUUGUAAAGCUCUUUUAGCAGGGACGAUAAUGACGGUACCUGCAGAAAAAGCCCCGGCCAACUUCGUGCCAGCAGCCGCGGUAAUACGAAGGGGGCUAGCGUUGCUCGGAAUAACUGGGCGUAAAGCGCACGUAGGUGGGUCGUUAAGUCGGGGGUGAAAUCCCAGAGCUCAACUCUGGAACUGCCUUCGAUACUGGCGACCUUCGAGUUCGGGAGAGGUGAGUGGAACUGCGAGUGUAGAGGUGAAAUUCGUAGAUAUUCGCAAGAACACCAGUGGCGAAGGCGGCUCACUGGCCCGAUACUGACACUGAGGUGCGAAAGCGUGGGGAGCAAACAGGAUUAGAUACCCUGGUAGUCCACGCCGUAAACGAUGGAAGCUAGCCGUUGGUAAGCAUGCUUAUCAGUGGCGCAGCUAACGCAUUAAGCUUCCCGCCUGGGGAGUACGGUCGCAAGGUUAAAACUCAAAGGAAUUGACGGGGGCCCGCACAAGCGGUGGAGCAUGUGGUUCAAUUCGACGCAACGCGAAGAACCUUACCAGCCCUUGACAUGUCCAGGACCGGUCGCAGAGACGCGACCUUCUCUUCGGAGCUUGGAACACAGGUGCUGCAUGGCUGUCGUCAGCUCGUGUCGUGAAGAUGUUGGGUUAAGUCCCGCAACGAGCGCAACCCUUCGUCCCUAGUUGCCAUCAUUUAGUGGGCACUCUAGGGAGACUGCCGGUGAUAAGCCGCCAGGAAGGUGGGGAUGACGUCAAGUCCUCAUGGCCCUUACGGGCUGGGCUACACACGUGCUACAAUGGCGGUGACAAUGGGCAGCGAACCAGCAAUGGGGAGCUAAUCUCAAAAAACCGUCUCAGUUCGGAUUGCACUCUGCAACUCGAGUGCAUGAAGUUGGAAUCGCUAGUAAUCGUGGAUCAGCAUGCCACGGUGAAUACGUUCCCGGGCCUUGUACACACCGCCCGUCACACCAUGGGAGUUGGUUUUACCUUAAGACGGUGCGCUAACCGCAAGGGAGCAGCCGGCCACGGUAAGGUCAGCGACUGGGGUGAAGUCGUAACAAGGUAGCC